rnacentral:rRNA from 1 species
UACGAAGGGGACUAGCGUUGUUCGGAAUUACUGGGCGUAAAGCGCGCGUAGGCGGAUCGCUAAGUCGGGGGUGAAAUCCCAGGGCUCAACCCUGGAACUGCCUUUGAUACUGGCGAUCUGGAGAUCGGGAGAGGUUGGUGGAAUUCCGAGUGUAGAGGUGAAAUUCGUAGAUAUUCGGAGGAACACCAGAAGCGAAGGCGGCCAACUGGCCCGAUACUGACGCUGAGGCGCGAAAGCGUGGGGAGCAAACAGG